CUUCACCGAGCCGACCAGCAGCGGGCGGUCGGCGUCGCGGUGCUGUCCGUAGGUCGCCAGCAGCGCCUGCGCUUC
rnacentral:antisense_RNA from 1 species